AUACGGAGGGUGCAAGCGUUAAUCGGAAUUACUGGGCGUAAAGCGCGCGUAGGCGGUUUGUUAAGCGAGAUGUGAAAGCCCUGGGCUCAACCUGGGAACUGCAUUUCGAACUGGCAGGCUAGAGACAAGAGAGGGUGGUAGAAUUUCCUGUGUAGCGGUGAAAUGCGUAGAUAUAGGAAGGAAUACCAGUGGCGAAGGCGGCCACCUGGCUUGAUACUGACGCUGAGGUGCGAAAGCGUGGGGAGCGAACAGGAUUAGAUACCCGAGUAGUCC
rnacentral:rRNA from 1 species